ACAGUGGAGUUAAACCUUACAGCUGUGACUUGUGUGGAAAGUCUUUUCAAUAUCUGCAUCAGCUGAAAAAACACCAACAGAUCCACACCAGAAAGUAACUCUACAAGUGCAGUUACUGUGAGGAUGUAUUGAUUUUUAUCUUGUAAUUGUAACCUGAUUGUUUGGAACAAGUCUGAUCAGUAAAUUUAUGGAGUUAUACUGAAUGAACUGUUUGGAAAAAUGAAGAAUCAUUUUCUCUCAGUAAGCUGAGUGUUGUAAUGUAAACAGACGUUGGCAGAGAUGCUCUUUAUUUCAGGCGACGUUCAGAUUAAAAACUUACACUGUCUUUGUUUAGAAGUGGAGCAAAGCACAUGGAUCCAGUUCUCAACCCUGUCGUCACUGUGGUGGUGGGAAAGAGUUUCUCUGUGACCUUUGUAGAAAACCUUCCAAUCAUCAACGGGACCAAAAACUACAUCAACGUAGACACACUGGAGACAAAAUGAUCUACUGCAAAGAAUGUGGGAGAGGCUUCCACACACCAAUUACAUUAAAAUACAUGACCUCUUCCAUAGUGGGGUCAAAAAGCACAUCUGUGACCAGUGUGGGUCAUCUUUGCACACUGGACAUGAGCUCAAUGAAAAAGCAUAAGCGAAUCCACACAGGAGAGACACCAUACAAGUGCAGACACUGUGACAAAAGCUUCUCACAAUCAGGUCAUCGUAACAAGCAUGAACGUACACACAUGGAAGUGAACUUCAGCUGUGACCAGUGUGACAAGAGCUUCAGGAAUCUCAGUCCAUACUCCGAACACAAACGAUUCCACGCUGUAAAUAAACUGUUUCACUGUUACCAAUGUGCAAAAACAUUCACUUCAUUAUCUGCUCUGUGCAAACAUCAGCCUGAUCAUGCAGGACUGAAAUCACUGGAUCACAAUGAAUCUGAAGAGAGAGAAAGAUCCUCUUCUGGUUUCAGGGUGGGACUUAAAAACCUUGAGAUCAGGCUCCACAGAGUUCAGAUGGAAUCUCCUGUAAAGAGUGUCAGCUGAUGUCACACCUGGGUCUGAUGAGGCAGCUCUGAUUUCUGGAGCUGCAGUGAAUAAUCCCGAAUGUUACAUUUAGGAAGCUGCAUGUAUAAAUAUGCAUAUCAAGUUUAUGUUUUUUCCUUUGAGGGAUUUUAAUUCUCUAAAAUGUUAUCCCUGUUACAUUUUAACCUUUGUUCCCUUAGGACACAGUAGUGUUUAGUAGUUGUAUUCAUUUUAUGUGUUACCUCAGUUAAAUUUCAAUCCUUCAUUCAUAUUUAAACUUCUGCUGUGGUAAUCCCUUUUCUUAAAUCAUUCUCCCAAAACUGCAAAUGUUUUCACAGUAGUUGCUCUUAAUACUUCCAAAAUGAACUAAAUCUGUCCACCAGCUUUGAAACAACACCUGCUGUGACUUUAUGUCCUGAAAAAAGAAACUCAGUCUAAACUGGUUUUGGGCUGUACUUCCAUGUAAUGCCAGUUUGUACCAGAAGAUGAAGCAGUGAGUCAGUGUAACAUUUAUUUAAUUAGGCAAAGAACACAUUCGUUUUCACAGUGGCAGCAAAGAAAUGUUGAAAGUUAAAAACAGCAGCACACAUCAGGACCAUUUUAAAGAUCACAGGUGACUUUUACUUAAUUCAAAUUCCUUCAAUUUUUUGGCUCCUCCUUUCACUUUAGUGUAUUUACUGUAUCCUUGAAGUCCACAUGUUGUUUUUUUAAUGAAUUCAUUUUGAUCCACAUGUUCUGCGGCUGUCUUCCUGUUGAUUUGAAGUUUGUUUUAUGAAAUCCUGAUAAUGUUAAAGCGUUAGUUAUAUUUGAUGAACUCUGUGUAAAGUUUGUCUUAUUAAACAGUUUGGUGUGAAAAAUUAAGAAAUGGUCUCAGAACAAGUAGUUUGAGCCCUGAUUUCAGAUUCAAACUAAUUUAACUGUUUUCAGUGGUACAUGUGGAGGUUUAUCAGAGGAGGCGACUUGGCUGUUCUCCACUCACACAGCACAGGGUUCCUGCAGCUCAUUAAAAACUCUGAAAUGAGAACAAAAAUAUUAUUUCAUAAUAAAUAUUUGAUAUUUAUUAUGAACAUUCACCAUUAAAGACAGGAUGUUAGGAAAAGGACAACAUUUUCUCUCCAAGUUAAACAGAUUUGCAAACUGUCUGUAGGUAACAACUUAACAUAUUAAUUUACUUUUUACAUUAUUUCCUUCAAGAAAUCGAGCUGCUGGUAGCCAUGUGCUCAUCGUGUGUCACAGGACCAAGAAAGCCUCAUUAAAAAGCAAAGAUCGAUGGUCGCGUUUUAUAUCAUCCACCCUUUAGUCCUAUUAUUUUUAAGUAGGUUUUUAUUAGAAUUUAAACAUUUAAAUCACUUUAUGUUCAAGAAUCUGUUCCUUUCUGCUGAUAUUAAAAUCAUUAACUAGUAUUCAGGGACUAGUCUACAGAAAACACAUAACUAACCUCUUCACCUCUUCUCUCCUUUUUUACUGAAAAGUUAUAAAGUUUGAUGAAACUCCAAAACCUCUUAAUAUAAAGUCUGGAACUCUUUUGCUAGAUUGAUAGAACUUUAUUAAUCCCUCAGGUAGGUUCCUCCAGGAAAUUCAGUUUCUAUUUAAUUGCAGGUUCUCCCACCUCUCCUCCUCCAUCAGCCUCCACUGCCUCCCUUUCCUCCCCUUUUCCUCUCCUCCUCUCUCUGUGAUGGUGUGUUCUCUCCAUAACUGGGCUGCUGCUGCUGGUCAUACUGCUUCUAGUGCUGAGACGAUGCAUCCAGAGAAAAACUGGAGUGAGUGAUGCUGUGACAGCUGCCACCUCUUCAUCAGUGAGAAGAACAUCAGCAGAUGAUGGAAAUGGGUCAAAGAUGAUGAGAGAGAGCGAUCCAGCGGCAGUUUAUUCUUCAGUGCACAGAACAUCUGACAUCAACUAUGCACAGAUCCCCAUCAAGAUGAACUGCAGACAGAGAGGUAGAGCUGCUCCUCUUUCA